rnacentral:rRNA from 1 species
UACGGAGGGUGCAAGCGUUAUCCGGAUUCACUGGGAUUAAAGGGUGCGUAGGUGGGUUGGUAAGUCAGUGGUGAAAUCUCCAGGCUUAACUUGGAAACUGCCAUUGAUACUAUCAAUCUUGAAUACCGUGGAGGUCAGCGGAAUAUGUCAUGUAGCGGUGAAAUGCUUAGAUAUGACAUAGGACACCAAUUGCGAAGGCAGCUGGCUACACGAAUAUUGACACUGAUGCACGAAAGCGUGGGGAUCAAACAGG